UCUGGGUAUUGCUGCUGGAGCAGGAGGAAUACUGUCUGUAUCUCAGCCUCUGGUCCUGGAAACAUGGCAGAGGGAGGAAGAAUUGGGCACGAUGCGAACUGCAGCCAAUUCCUUCAUCAACCGAGCCAACGUAAUGAAUGGUUAAUUUGAAAAUACUUGGCAAUGGGGAUGAGAGUUUUAUUUCAAGAGACCCCCCGAACAGGAAAAAUCUGGAUUUUAGAUUUGAAGGGUGAGAUGAAAAGGAAUUGGAAGAGGAGAGAAAAUAAAGAGAAAGGCAAGCCAGAAGUGUACUCUGUCCUAAAAACAAUCAGACUCCUACUGCAGAAUCACCCACAUUUUGCGUCAAGCAGGCUGAAUUCUGCAGCUUCUAUAAAUGUUGGAAAAUUGCACAAUUGAGGAAUUUGUUUCUGAUCUCCCAAAUGCAAGGAUGAGCUAUGAGGUUGUUGUAAAUCAAAUUAUCUACGGCCUCUAAGCUAGCCUUUCUCAAACUUGGGUUCCCUCGUGGUGUUGGACUACA